UGGGGAAUCGCCAAGCUGGUUAAGGCACAGGGUUUUGAUCCCUGCAUGCGAAGGUUCGAAUCCUUCUUCCCCAGCCA
rnacentral:tRNA from 3 species